rnacentral:rRNA from 1 species
AGCCCAGCACUGAAUCCCGUCGUUGUUUAGGCGGCGGGAGAUGUGGUGUUCGGGAGGUUCCGCUUUCUCGUCGUUGUCUUCUCCUGUCCAAGUUCGUCUUGAACGGGGCCGUUUUCCCAUAGAGGGUGCCAGGCCCGUAGCGACGGAGGACGGCGGCGAGAGGAACUCUCCUCAGAGUCGGGUUGCUUGAGAGUGCAGCCCUAAGUGGGUGGUAAACUCCAUCUAAGGCUAAAUAUUACCGCGAGACCGAUAGCGAACAAGUACCGU